UACGUAGGGACCAAGCGUUGUUCGGAUUUACUGGGCGUAAAGAGCGCGUAGGCGGCAAUUCAAGUCAUCUGUGAAAUCUCCGGGCUUAACCCGGAACGGUCAGGUGAUACUGUUUUGCUAGAGUGCGGAAGGGGCAAUCGGAAUUCUCGGUGUAGCGGUGAAAUGCGUAGAUAUCGAGAGGAACACCAGAGGUGAAGACGGGUCUCUGGGCCGAAACUGACGCUGAGGAGCGAAAGCGUGGGGAGCAAACAGG
rnacentral:rRNA from 1 species